rnacentral:rRNA from 1 species
UACGAAGGGGGCUAGCGUUGCUCGGAAUUACUGGGCGUAAAGCGCACGUAGGCGGUCUUUUAAGUCGGGGGUGAAAUCCUGGAGCUCAACUCCAGAACUGCCUUCGACUACUGAAAGACUUGAGUCCGGGAGAGGUGAGUGGAACUGCGAGUGUAGAGGUGAAAUUCGUAGAUAUUCGCAAGAACACCAGUGGCGAAGGCGGCUCACUGGCCCGGUACUGACGCUGAGGUGCGAAAGCGUGGGGAGCAAACAGG